CCCCUCCACCCUGAUGUCUCUGGCUACCUGCUGGCCAAAGUGUUCAUUUUUCUGAUAAUGUUUUCAAGUUGAUGAACUCCAGUAAAUAGGUCAAAUGGAAGAAGAAACACACAGUGAGUGCUCUUUUUACACAUACCACAAGCUAAACUUUGUUUGCUCUUACUUUGUGUUCUUCCCUUGACAGCAGGUGUACAUAUAUAAUCCUUGAAAUGUUAGGUAUAGACUUCAGAAAGUCCAGCAGGCAUGUGUGAGAGAAGAUGAAUAAUUAAAGCGACAGUCAAAGAAACUUUCUUCUGAGGUACAAGAUAAAAUAAUUGUACAGAAAAAAACAAGUGAUUUGUAACAAAAGAAAGAGAGAAGAAUAUGGCAAAGGCUUUCAGAACUGCUGUUGAAAUUAGUGCUUAUAAAGGACUAUGAAAUACAAAUUAUUCAGGAAAGUGGUAGUUACACUGUCCUAGCUGAAGGAAAGAUGUGUUUUAGAAUUAAGGGAUGAGCUUGGGAAGCUCUUGCCAUGGAAAGCCAUUAUGCCUAAAAGCAGGUUAGGGUCUUUCAAAGGUGUGGAUCUCUUGCUGAACAAGGAGAAUGUAUGAAACAGCAGGAAAUGAAGAGAAACUUCCUGGCAUGAGGCAAUGAAGAGGCUAAGGAGAUCAUAUGCUGAAUGGUUGAAUACAAAGUGCCAAGGUGUCUGGUGACCCCAGCUGAAGCAAUUGUAGGGCAAUUUGUUGCAUCUAGGAAAGCAGCGCAUAAAAUGGACUCAGGAACCACCUUGUUCUUGGGAGGCUCUUUGCUCCUUUGAAUCUUCAGGUUUUCUACAAAGAGGUUUCUCACUGUGGGAGUACAAACCUGCUUCAGUUUGACUGAAGUCCUGCCUAUGGAGCUGGCUGUUUCUUGAGACAAGUACACUGUGAUUACGACGACUGUCCUGAGGGCUGGGACUCCGUCCACAAGCUGCUUUCCUGAACAAAUGUAUUUGGGUAUAGUCAAUCAAAGGGAAGAAGGAUGUCAAAGGACUGGCCUUACUUGCUAUAGGAGUCUGCAGAGCUACUGCAGAAUGAACUUAUUUCAUCACAACUAUAUCAGUUAUCUGUCAUCAGCAGAAAAAGGAAAGCAUGGAAGAAAUGUUUUUGUAAAGGGCUGA
rnacentral:lncRNA from 1 species